GCGAGAGCUAGGUUCCUGCUCUCCUGAAAGCCUCGGAGGCCCAGAGCGGGGAGCAGCGGGCCUGCAACCAGGGAACCCUGAAAGGAAGCGGGUCCUCUGUAAGAUGGGGCUGCAUCCCUGCCCCGCUCCCAGCAGCAUGGGGUCAGAUGCAAAAACUGAGGCUCAGGGGAGUGAAGUGACCCAUCCAAGGUCCCACAGCUUGUCCGUGGCAGAGCUGGGUUUCAACCCCAGGGAGAAACCAAUGCAGUGCUGCACAUCCAAUCACUAUUGAGUGCUUCUCCUUCGUCCGUAACGUUCAGCACGGAGAACAGUGCCUGGCACAUAGUAGGUGCUUAAUAAA
rnacentral:lncRNA from 10 species